rnacentral:lncRNA from 1 species
AUGGAAAUCAUUAAUUAUGAUCCGAAUUCGAAAGCCUCCUCCAUCACACUUUGUCACCCUGUGAGUCAAAAUAUGCGGCCUUGUCGUCGUCUCAAUCUCAAAUCCCAGCAGCAGCACAAACAAACUCUGAAAGAUUUGCAACCACCUCACUCAGCCCACCAAGAAAAUGAAUGCGAUCUGCUUCCCCAUCAUCCCAUUCCAUCCCUCAACAGUCAAUAG